GCUGCGCUUCUCUUGCGUCAGGAAAGCUGUCAGUGCGGCCCCAGCCAGCCUGCUCCCCGGGGCUGCAGGAGGGAGUGAGUCAGGAGAUUGUUCUAGUGAUAGCACAGAAAAUACCUUCUCUCUUACUGCCUGCCGCUGCUUUCCUGACUCUCUGCUCCUCGUUGCGUAUUCAGAAAGCGUUUAGCACUGUAUGAUUUACAUUGUGAAAUGAUUUGUUAUUAUAACGGGACCGUUGUAACAUCCGUAAUCUAAUUUUUUGCUGUAGUUAUUCCUUUAAUUUGUGCAGCAAUGUUUUGAAGGUUGAAUUAAUGUUUGAGGGUAUUUUGUUCUAUUGGAGGAAGUUUUUUGCCUGACUGGAGAAAUACUGCAAUGAAAUUUGCUAAGAAUUUUGUUACGAGUAAUUUUUUUUAGAUUGAUCUUGGGGUUUGUUUCAUUAGUGCUUUCAUUGUGGAGAGUGGUUUUUUCUGUGUACGUUCAUCAGGAGUGUAAAGCGCUUUUGGGUAUGAUGAGUAGGAGAAGGAUCUCAGUUGCUCUACAGUCAUUGAGAUGGGUGUUCCUGCAUACGUGCAGUGCAUUUGAUAUGUAUUUAAUCUCUUUUCCAGUGGCUCUGUUUAACUUCUAAAACUGGUCAAAUAAUGCAAUCUACUAAAUGACAUCGUGUAGUAGUUUCAUUAUAGUAGUUGUAUGUAUGCAGUGAUUUUUCUUCUGGCAUCUUGGGACUCUCAGAGUAUUGUGGCUUUAGCCCUAGUAAUACUUACUCGUGAUUAAAAUACAGUGUUUGGAUGUAUGAAAAUUGAUAUAAGUUCUGUUUAUUAAUAUCAAUAACAAAUUUUUAGCUUCUUGUCAUUGUAGUGUAAGUUUUUACUUUUCCCAGGGGUAAUUAGGGUCUGCCGUUUUGUUUUGGCCUUCCAAAAACUUUUGCUCAAGUGUAUACAGCCUAAGAGAUAAUGUGGUAAGAGGUGUUUGCUUGUGUGUGUUUGUGCCCUGGAAGGAUUAAGUAGAUGUUUUUCCUGCUUGUUAGCAUGGUGUGAUUUUGAAAAAGCUCUAGUACUAGAUCCCAGUUCUCUGGUAAGUAAGAAUUCACGACUCAGUAUAGUUAAGAUUAUUUUAAGCUAUCUAAUGCCUCCAUUCUCUGCUUUGUUUCCUCUCUCCCUCCCUCCUGCCCCCAACUUUUUUGGUAAAUUAACUUAUAUUUGGGGACAGAUAUUUCAGCAGGUCUAGGAAGAAAUACUUCACAAUGAGGGUGGUGAAACACUGGCAGGUUGCACAUUCACAAUGAGAGGUGGUAGAUGUCUUGUCCAUGGAAACUUUCGAGGUCAUUUUGGUCAGGGCUCUGAGCAACCUGAGGUUGAACUAGAUGAGCUUUACAAGUCCCUUCCAACCCAAAGUAUUCUAUGAUUUCAGGUAUUUUUCUAUAUACUGUUAAGUACCACAGUAGGAUUUACUGGUAUCUUUUUUUUUUUCUUCCCUGACAUUCAAGUUGAUUAAAGGAAAGCUUGUGCCAAGGACAGAAUCCAGAACCUGAGUUUUUCCAUAUGCUUGAGGAAUAGAAUUUGUGUUUUGGCAAAGAAACGAAGCUGAAGUUUUUCGCCUCGUUAUAUACCAUAGAACUUCAUUUGUCCUAUAGUAAUAAUUACUACAUGAUGCCAGCUCCACAGUCCCUAGGAAUUGAUUUGAGUGUUCCAGAUGUGGACUGGUAAUGACUUUGGGAUCUAGUUAGGCUGCUGUUUGUGCAAAUGAAGUUUUCUCUUGCACGUUGUGUAGCUUUGACUAGAUUUGGUUUCGGUUUAAGUAACAGUGCAUGAGCACAUUACUUAUUUCUUGGUUUAUUGAUUUCUAUCUACCUUUUGAAACUUUUUUCAAAGCACAGAAAGAAUUAGGAGGGUUUUGCAAUACAAUUUUUGAAGUUCCUUUGGUUCAGGCAAGUGAUUGAACAUCCAUGUCUGAUUUAACUUCCUGAAUCAGCAAAUCAUCCUCUUAUUGCCCUCUGUUCAAGCAUAAUUUGCCAACUUUGUGAUUACACUGACACAGUGAAGACUCAGAGUCCCUCCAAACCCCAAGGUGAACUCUUGAAAUGAGUGUUGUUUAAGGCUUGAUAUAUAUGUUGCUUUCAAAGAGUAACAAAUCUGUACAAGAAACCGUUAUCUGGAACAUACUUAAGAAUGUUGGGGAAGCAAUAUUCAAGGCAUAUAUUUAGAAAAUUGUAUUCAGGCUGAGAGCAUAUGCUAUUCAUGUGUGUCUUCUAAAAAUAUUUUCACAUUCAAAUUACACACCCGCUAGCUGCUUAGUUCUAACCAUGUUUUUGCUACAUGAUGCUCCCUGAGAAACUGAGUAUGGAGUGGGAGGUACCAGCUGAAAACUUGCUCUGAAGGUUUUGUUUCUUGGAUUUUACUUUUGCUUGACUUUCCUUCUUUUUCCAGAACACUUCCAAAAUGGCACUUAGGAAGUUUAAAUUUUAAUGUAAGAAUAAUAAAGUAACUAAUUAUAUAUGUACCUCUUUUUCUCUUUUUAAUUCUUAAAUAUGUUAAUCGUGUUCUGUUUUUCAGAGGUCUUGUACAGACCACAGGAAAGCCAUUGUCUCACUUAGAUAAUUUUUUUGUAUAUGUAGUCAAGGUGACUGUGAUUGUAAACUUUCUUGCAUUCCUCAACUAUUUUUAAGCCCACACAUUCGUAACAGUACUGAUUUUAAUAUGUGUAUGUAGUAUCCUUUGGCUAUUGUAUUGCAGUGUUUUAACCAAAGGGAGGGAGAUCUUUUCUAAGAUCGUAAAAUCAGUAGCUGAAAUAUGAGGCCAGGUUUUUUUGUCAACUGCUGCCUGUUUAAACCCUUUUUUUUCUGGAGUAAAAACCUCUUAUAUUUUUAUGACUCAUUUUCAAAAGUACAGGGGGGGAAAAAAAAAAGAGGUGCUGCAUUUUUUCCCUACUAUGGUGCCUGUAGCCUUGACAGAACAGGAGAAAUCUAUAUAUUGCUCUCAGGUAAAGGUAGACUUCUUUUUUUCUUCUUGGAUCCUAUAUGAGUGCCUCUUAUUUUAGCAUCCUUAACAGGAGUGUGUUCUUUGCUCUGUAGAAAGAGAGAAGCUGAACACUUUAGACCUGAUGCAGUGCUCUCAGAAAUCACUGCAAAGAUUUCCAUUUGGGAAUUGCAGCUGGCCUCCGAAAUACUUUUAAAAUUUUCUUUCUAUUCUUAAAGAUAUUUUACCUCCAUUUCCUAUAGCCUGUAGGCUUCGCACCCCAUUCUAGUAGGGAACAGUAGCCAAGACUUAACUUUGUAUCCCUUGUGUUUUCAGAAAUGAAUUAUUUUCAGGAAUAUUUCUAGUGGGAAAAGAUAAAUGAUGAAAUGUUGCUUCUGAAACCCAUGGAAAGAUGGGUGGUGUCUGAUAUGGUUGUGGUGGUUGUGUUGUGCAUUUGUGUCCUUGGGAUUCUUCCAGUAGUUAGGUUAUGCUCGUGUGGUGUUGUGGUGUUGCAUUGCUACUCUAGUGAAAGUCAGCAAAAAUAGAAAACACAGCUUAAUGUUGAUGGAAGGAUUUGGAUGGGACUCAGCAUGAGGUAAUAUAACAACAGCCAAACAAAAUUCAUGUCUCUGUAGUGGCAAAGAUAUUGGCUAGCUUGAUGUUAAGGACUUGAAAAACUGAUGUGAAAGUUUGCAGUUGCAUUGGUUCAAAGAUUUACAAAGUAAGAAGGAUUACAGCAAGCCGAGUGUUUUGAAAUUAAGUGAACAAAUAGUAUUUUCCCAGAUGUGAUAUGUUGAUUUCUGGUUUCAUACAUUAAUUGGUGUUGCCCUGUUAAGGUAGGUUAUAUUUGACUGUCCUUUUUGUUUGGCUCUUAAACUGGUUUUCUCUUCCUCUCUGUGAAAGUCUGGGAUUUCUAAGGUGGUUUUAGGUUUAACUGAUUGACUUAUGGCAGAAUUCAAAGAUGUGUUAUCAGAAAGAUUUCAUUCAUUUUGAUUUUCAGCAAUAGCCGCUGAAGAUAGUGUUUUACAGGCCUUAGGAAAACUGGGAUGGUGUAAAAGGUGCUAUCACUCUUUUGUGGGUAUUUAAUAAAAGGGAAAUUAAUACCAAAUUGUAACUACACGGGUAAAAAAUAAUUGAUAUAAUGACACUUAGAAAAAGAAUCUCAAUUGUUUUGUUUUGUUUUCAAAGUAACUUUGAAGUCUGUUUUGUUUUCUUGAAAAAAGAAGUGGUAAUCAAACAUAUUAGUUAAAGUUGAACCCUUGUGAAUCUUGGGAAAAAAAUUCCAAAUAUCUUGCUUGCAAAACCUGGUUCCUAUGUUAGCAGAGCAAAGAGUAUUAAGUAACGCACUCAGUGUCCAAGAAAUUGGCCAGUUCUUUUUAAUUUUAAGCACACUCCAUAAUGUGCUUCAAGAUAUUUCUUCACAUAUUCCAGUACUUUCAAAAGGAAGGAGUCUUUUCAAGUAGACUCAUUCUACUAAGUUUGUAAGAUGUCAGUCCAUACCGAGACAGGAAAAAAGAGCAAUGAUCCAUUUUGUGAAGUUUAAAAGUGACAGAUUAUCCAUUCUUACUUACCUAUUUAAACUUACACUGAUGUAACAUUACCUGUCCAUUAGAGACUUUUCCCUCUGGUACUUGAAGCACUUGAGCUACAUUUUAUCACCAUUAUCUUGUGGUUCUUCUCUUAUUUAGUCUUGGAGUUUUUUGCUUUCUGCAAUCCCAUUUGGUGAAACAUCCUGUGUAAGGAGGCUGGCAUUGUUACAGCUGCUUUACACUAUGCAUGAACAGAGGCUCCAGCUUCUGCCAUCUCUUUCUGUUCAAUUUCUUCAGAUGACCUGUAAAUUUUCAAUAAUGGCAAUACGUUCAUUCUGCCAUUUGGAGGAGCCUGUGCCACAGAAUAAUGAUCUGAAGAAAGCUCACUUAUUUGCAAGGAAGAGUCUUCAUUUGGGAAUUAGCACCGAUGCAACUCAGAGGUGUUUUUUCAAGUCCAGACUCUUUCAGCAGAUCUAUUAUUUUCCUGGCACAACUGCCAGUACAAGGAUAAAAUUGGGUUUUUGUCAGAGAACAGAGUCCUGUAUCUGAAGAGUAAGAAGGUCCUUGACAUUCAGUGGGAUGAGAGUCUUAGAACUGACUACUGGGGACUCCCAAGCUACAGAUCAGGCAAUAGAGAAUGUGAGAGAAACAGCUGCAUCUGAAAUAGAUCAUCUGAUUUAAGAAAGUUGAUCAACUAGCAAACAAAAACCCCCAGCUUUUAAGUGCUUCAAUUUUCAACACAGAUCCAUCCCUAAGAUGAGAACACUUAUGCUAUAAAAACACAGCUGGAAUUGGGAGAUGCUGUUUCAAACAACCAAGUAAAGUACAGGUGUCGGCGAUUGAAUGACGGAAUGAAUGAAUUCCCAGACCGGCAGGGGAUCUGAAUCGUUUAUUCAAAGCAAAACCAUUUUGGUAGGUGUGGGUUGCUUGUCAGAAAUCCGUUCCGAAGCUUGAGUGCAAAGGAGGCAGGGUACUAAUGAUGAAUAAGAAUGGAUAUCUUGAGGAUAACAAUGGAUGUGGCAUCUUCAAAAGCAGUGGCAUUCUGGUCCUAAUCCUGCAACUGGAUUUGUUGAAAUGGAUCUUGAUAGCCUGAGAGCCUGACGAAGUUCAUGGGACUCUAUAUACUGCAAGUUCUCACUCUGAAGAUCUGAUUGUCGCCUCUGUUUCUUCUCCUGAGUCUCAGAAAUCCUGGAAUAGAACCGUUAAAUAAAAGGAGAUGACAUCACUGGGAAAGAAGAUGGUAGAAGAAACAGGAUGACUGUGAUAGAAGCUGGAGAUGGUCUCUGUGAGAAUGCUAGCAUGACUUCAUUUCUCUGAACAGCCAUUUAAGAGGCAAUCCUCCUUUCUGAACCAGUAAUAAAUUGGGAUGGCUGCGUGUAAUGGUAGGUGUUCGACCAAUGCAGCACCCAGUGCAGUGCAUACUGGGAAACUAUUCUGGAAGUAGGGGGAGGGGGGGCUGGCUAGAAAAUUACUUUACCAUUAAAUAAUGGUACUGAUGACUAUUUGGUGAGCAGGUACAGCUGCCAGAAUGCAUUUUUCAGCCUAUCUUUGCACAGGAGUGUGGACAAAAGAGGAGAAGAAAAAGGAGGCAGAAAGGAGAGAGAUGGAGAAAGGAUAAGAGUUUUUUGAGGCUGCUUCUGCUCUUCCAGGAUAUGUUCUUUGCCCUCCCUAGUGAGUGGUAUACAGUGAUGACUUGUAGUACUUGUAAUCUUCCUUGAGCUUCCAACUCUCCUUGGGAAGUUAGCAAGUUUAUGAAGUUCCUGAGUAUGUGGAUAACUCCUCAAAUGAAUGAGAAACACCUCAUUAUGUUGUAAGGGAUGAGACAGACACUACUCAGUGACACCCAUGUACACUUGGCUGUAUUCAGCAAAAGGGUAAGACUGUCCUGUCAAACUAUGCAAGUUCCCUUUUUGAAGCUGUGAGCAAAUGGUUGUUUCCUCCAGCAGUUCCUGUAACUGCUUGUACGCAGUCUACAUCGCGGUAGGUCCUGUGUAGUUACUAGCUAGAUGUGUGAUGCAUCCUGUUUCUUUGGAUAUCGACAUCCCAUAAAUUCACAUCAUGAGUUUGUGGAAAUAAGACUGUGCUAGGAUUUCUAGUAUCAGGGACUGUUUGCAUUAAGGUGUCAUCUUCAUUAUCCAUAAGCAGAUGGUUUAGUCUGUGCUGCAGUCCCAUAUAAAGGAUCAGAGUACAGGUCACAUGAUAUCUCUAUAUUGAUUUUUUUCAGAAAACAUGUAGAUAAGGGAAUAGUAGCUCUGUCCCAGCACUAUAACUAGCUCUAGGAACCUUUCCAAUUUGACAUGGAGCACUGAGGUCUGUCUGAAAGAGUCCUGGCUGUGAGAGAGCAGAUCUUGUUAAAUCUUCUGGGCUGGAUACAAUAGGAAGGAAGGGAUUCUCAGGUAUUUUUCAUCACCUUAGGCCUGGUUGGAUUCUGCCUGUUCAGGUGGAGAAGUCUAACAGUGGUGUCACCAUCAGAAGCUUACCUGCCUCUAGUGAGUAUUAACACCUUUAGAGCAGUGUCUGUGAAGAUGGACAGCAGCAUUCUGGGUUUAUUAGAAGCAGCUGAUAACUCUUAUCUCAGUGGUAGGCUCGAGUGUACAAUACAUAAAUGAUCUGGAGAUUUUGGAGGGGACUGAAUAUUUGAUGCUGUGUUUCCAGAAAGUUGAAGAGAUAAGUGGAUGUUGCACUGCAUGUUGUGUUCUCAGCAAAGCAAGCAUCUCAGCAGGUCAGCAAUUUCAGAAAUAGUGCAGUCCUGAAAGAACAUUUUUGAACUCCUUUUUGCUGUUGAAGCUGAACGCAGUUCCAUCUGUCUGAAACUGUACAUUGAGAGCUUCACAGAGGCACUUAAAGAAGUUAUGUACUUAUGCGUAAGGAAUAAGAUGCUAAAGGAAACGUAUUUCGUAAAUCUAUUAACCUUACCAUAAAAUUGUUACUUUCUAUACACAUAGUCACUGUAAAAAAUGUUCAUGGUAUACUGAUCAGCAGAGGAAAAGUCUAUACUGCUGUAUCUUCACCAUCUUUGCCCGCUUUCUGAGCUGAACAGUGUGGCUAUAUGCUUUUGCUAUGAAAAUCUGUUUGCUUGAUACUUUGCCGUACAUCUGUUAAUUCCACAAAAAGUGUACAAAUUUUCACAUUAUCCAUUUUGUGGAUAAAAGCACUGUGUAAGUACUGACCCUGAUUUAAGAAUGUAUCAGCUCUAGGAAUGAUGGAAUUGUCUUCAGGGCUCACAUGUCAACAAAAAUCAGCUGGUUCACACGUGAAGCUUGGCAAGGAAAACGCUGCAGCAGUUCCAGUGCCAUCCCUGCUCCCUGCCUACCUCUCCCAGACCGCUGCCUUUAGUCAGCUGAGGUUACCUUGCCUGUGUGCCACUGCCCCACAGUUACCACUUACACACACACCUGGGUCAGCCAGCCACUCAUCCAUGGGGAGCGGACAAACAGCCUUCUGAAACCCUGCUCACUGAUGGAAGAGGGACAGCAACAUAUGCAGAUUACUUGACACACUGUGAGCAAAUCCAGAUGGAAAGGUAAAGUAAAGCAAGUUCCAUUCAUUGGUACUGUUUGCAGACAUGCUGAUUCCUUUGAAUAGAGUCUUUCUCUUCCAGAAAUGAUUUUAAGGAAAUACUUAAAGUGUAUCUCCCGAUGAUUUCAAAUAAGACACCAGAGGAAAAGAUUGGCUGCAAGUCUGCAUCUAAUAAGCAACUGAGAAUUGUGUUCAUCUGGGCUGUGCACAGGCUAGCACUGCAGCCUCAGGAAAAGGGCAAAUAUGGCCAGGGCUUUUUUUCAAAUACGCUGUGAAAACCCUCCCUGCUGUAGGGCUGGAAGUGUUUGAAAGCAACAGUGACAAUCUACAUUACCAGCAGCUCCAUCAGAAGUACACGUGCCCAGGUGCCCUGUCUCUGCAGAUGUUUUGCUCUCGUUUUGAGCUGAAAAUGUAACUUUUUUGUUGAGAAAGGCUUUCAGAUCUUGUUAAAAAUAGCCUAAUAGUAGCUUUGGAUUUGACUGACAAGCUAGUUGUUACUAUGCCAUUUUCACUGUAAUAGUCUAGUAAUUUUGACCCAAAGAAACAAUGAUCUCAUUCCUUGGGAGGGAGGACAGAGUGACAAAAUCUGGAGGUCCUGUGACGACACUGAAUCUCUUUGUUGUCAAAGCAAGCUGUGAAAUCAUCUGCUUUCCUGCCAAACCCUCUGGGGAGUAAGCAGUGUCCUUCACAGAAUACACAUUUUGCAGGAGAAGAUGGGGGCACUGAAGAACCGCCUUCCUGCCCCAUGGAAGGUGCGCUGCCCCACACCCUGUGACUUUUGGAAUUGAUGCAAGUGUGCUUUCCCACCUCUAUCAGCAACCACAGCACUAAAGUGGGCAGAAACUUUCUAAGGUUCUUUAUAUACUGUGGCUUCGUCAAAAAUUCUACUGGAGUAGUGUCACCAAUGUGUUUCACAGUUAUUUUGGGAAUGGGGGAGAAUGAGAUCUCUGCAUCUCUCUCUGAGUCAGGCUCCACUGCCAACCAGAUAGUCUGUACUUGUUGGGAUUCUCCAUCCUUGUUUGUGUUUGCUAGAAAUCUUUGGUUGUGAGCUACAUGGAGGAUGAUAAGAAGUGAGAGGAAAAUUUUAAUAGAACUUUUUUCAUCAUUCAGUUGGAACUUUUCUGUUCCUACUCAGCAAGACAUUGUUAAGAAGAACAGUUCUGUCUUUGGAGAGGCCUUCCUCUGUUAUCUCUAAAGAAAACUGGAGAAAAAAAGGAUGCUUUAAAAAAAGGUUGAUAAUGUAUAGCUGAUGUUUCCAUUCAAGUUCAGCUCGCUUUACAUGGAAAAGGAGUUGGACCAAAAGGCUCCUUACAAAGAUUUCUACUGGUUUCCAAGUAAGUAGCUACAAAGGGUAUCCUAAAACCUGAAGUAUUUAAAAACAUGUAUCUCAUAGAAAUCAUUGUUUUACUCUUGCUUUGCAGUAUGCCAUCCAAUCUGUGUGUCUUUUCCUAAAGUAUACCCUAGUUUGCAAAACACCAAAAUUACUAAACAGGGGUUUUGAAACUUCCUCUGCAGCUACAUACUUUUUUUUCCUGGAGCAGUUGUACUGGGCUGUUGUGACCAAAAUAUUCUGUGGGCAAAGCUUAUAUGCAAGAAGUCAAAGGUGUCCUGUGUUAUCCAAGUGAUCUCAGUGACUGCACCUGUCUAGUGGAGUGUAAUUUAAAACAGAUUUGAACUUCAAUGAGGUUUGCAGAAGAAGGCAUGUUUGUGAAGUAUUAGAAGGGAUGUGGCACAGCAUGAACAAGAGAAGAAACAUAUAUUGCUUCUGUAAAAAACACUACUGUCUGCAACUGAUGAGUAAAUUCUUUUGUAUUUCUGUCAUCAAGGGUUGCAGAAGAAACCCAUUGAAGAUGCAAACCUGUACAGGCCUGAGCAUCUAACUAGCAGAGAUGAAGGAAAACCUUUACAGGAGUGUGUCACAUAAUCAAAUUCUCCUCAUCACUUGCCUUUUACUGAAGUUUUGGCUCUAGACAACAGCAAGGAAUAAAAGCAAUCCUUUGCCUUCCUUUCAGGUCUGGUUUUCACAGAAGAAACCUUAAAGAAGUUCAGUAUGUGCAAAGCUAUCAGCUUCUGCACACUAAACCACAUAAAUACUAGUGAUUUUUACAUUUUCUUCUGUUCCAUAUAAAGGUUUAAAGUAUAGGAUGCAAAUCAGAAAAAAAACCAAACCCCAAACAAAACCUUUCAUUGAGACAGAAACACAAGUGUUCCUUACUGUUCAUGUAUUUUUGCAUGAUUUUAGGUAGCAGAAUCACUGUCUUCAUAUGUCUACCAGCACUUCUUCACAAAUGAGGCAGUUUUAGAAUUAGGGUAAUUAUUUAAAAGGAUCUUUGACUUCCAUAAA